rnacentral:rRNA from 1 species
UACGGAGGGUGCGAGCGUUGUUCGGAAUUACUGGGCGUAAAGAGCACGUAGGCGGCUAGAUAAGUCAGAUGUGAAAAACCUGGGCUUAACCGAGGGUAUGCAUCUGAAACUAUGUAGCUUGAGUCAAGGAGAGGAGAGCGGAAUUCCUGGUGUAGCGGUGAAAUGCGUAGAGAUCAGGAAGAAUACCAGUGGCGAAAGCGGCUCUCUGGACUUGAACUGACGCUGAGGUGCGAAAGCGUGGGGAG